CCUAUGAUCACUGAUUGUUGUUAAUUAAGUUUAAACACCAAGAAGGCAGGGAUGAAGCAGAGAAGGGAACAUGGGGUUGGUGGUUCUCAUAUGUCCCUUGUAGGGGUGCUGACCUGGUUCCUGGCUCGGAGUGUUUGGAAGAGUCACAGGAUGUGACUUGGGAAGCCAGUGAGUCUACUCCCCAUCCUUCGACAGGUUGGCACUGAUGCCUCUUAAUGUGGGAGGACCCAGUGGCUAACUAGAGUCACUUCUACUGGACUUGAAGAUUCUCUGCACUUUAAAAGAAACCCUGAAAUUUCUCUAAAUAUCAAAAUCAGUAAUAACCCUGAAUUUUGAUGCCCUAUGUUAGGAUGAGAGUUUUAACUCCUUUUGUUUCAAGACAUUCUCCCCACCCUCCUGUUAAUUUUGUAUAUGGUUAUGAUCUCAGAAUAUUGCUCUUAGGUUAUUUUUAAUCUUAUAUAUAUCACUAACAUUCUCUUAAAAUUUUACUAUUCUGC
rnacentral:lncRNA from 1 species